rnacentral:rRNA from 1 species
GUGAGGAAUAUUGGUCAAUGGGCGCGAGCCUGAACCAGCCAAGUAGCGUGAGGGAUGACUGCCCUAUGGGUUGUAAACCUCUUUUGCAGGGGGGUAAAGUGGUUCACGUGUGGACCAUUGCAAGUACCCUGCGAAUAAGGAUCGGCUAACUCCGUGCCAGCAGCCGCGGUAAUACGGAGGAUCCGAGCGUUAUCCGGAUUUAUUGGGUUUAAAGGGAGCGUAGGCGGGGGUUUAAGUCAGCUGUGAAAUGCCGUGGCCCAACCAUGGAACUGCAGUUGAAACUGGACCUCUUGAGAGUACAUAAGGAAGGCGGAAUUCGUGGUGUAGCGGUGAAAUGCAUAGAUAUCACGAAGAACUCCGAUUGCGAAGGCAGCUUUCCGGGGUACAUCUGACGCUGAAGCUCGAAAGUGCGGGAAUCAAACAGGAUUAGAAACCCCGGUAGUCC